GCCAAGACAGGAGAGGUCUAUGUCUGAGCGGAGGAACAGGACACCUAUUCCGACCCAUCCACUGGAUUAUAGCUUUCGUCGUAGGUUUAAGCACCCCCUUCCAGAACCACUGAUACGAUAUUAUCAUCUAGGAAAGAGAA